CUCUUAAUGUCCAGCCCGGGACCUGCGCCCCUGGCCCAUUGUUAGCCGGCUUUUCCACGGCAGCUUUGCAUCUGACUCCUGCGGGCAGCGGAAAACGAGAGGCGGCUCUCGAAGCCUGCUGAUCUUCCUUCGCCAUCAACUUCUCAGGAGUGGCUGGAGAAAGAUAGAUGCAUGUGCCAAGAGAGACAGCAGCCCCAGGUCCUUGUGUCCAAAUCCCCGUAGCCUGGGCGGCGGCCAGCCAAAACAAUGCCGUCCCGAGCAGGCUCGUGCGGCUCCUGGCACUCUGGGUUUCAUACCCGUAGGGCUCGGGUGCGGCCAAAAGAGAGCACGGAUCAAGAGCAGGACGGAUCAAGAGCAGGAGGGUAGACGACGACGUGGGGAAAGCUCCUUUGGCGUGAGACUCCCAGCGUUCUGCGGCAGCCUGCUUUUGUAUCCUCAAGAUUUUCCUAAAACAUGAAAAGGGUUCCUAAACGCUGCUCUCUGGGACUCAGCAGAGAGGAAAUAAAUCCACAGAAUGGCAGAUGCUGAAUUCCGGGAGCAAUUUGAUGCUGAGAUUCAUGGAAGGGAUUCCUUCCAAUACAAGGAAGACCUGGAGGACUAUGAAGCUCAGUCCUUUUUCUGGAGACCUAAGGGAGAGUAGGUCCCUUUUGAGGUGAAUUUAGAAGAGGUUCCCCCCCCCCCCAUCUUCUUUAGGCGUGAUAAUGAACCGCGAAGCAUCCUCAGUGGAGACCUGGAAUUCCAUAGCUUGUGGGAAGAGCUUAAGACCUUGUGCGGUUCCAAGGUUGAGGCCUUGGCCGAUGGGCUUUCGGUGCGGGGGAAUGGAGAGGAGCCCCGGGUUCUUGGUGUCGGCGCCCCGCACCUGUGCGCCCCCCGCUGAGCCCGAGGCCGGCCGCCUUUGUUUCUGCCAGGCCGCUCCGCACUUAGCAGCCUGGCGCCCUGCUUGGGCGGCAGCUGGGAACCAGGCAGCUCAGCGGGCCGGGAGCCUGGCAUUUCCCGAGCUGUGGCAGCCACUUGAAACCGCGGCCUCUAUCCCCAGAACUCGCCGAGCUUCCAAGGCAGACGCUGGACCAGGCCUCACGCCGGAGUCGCGGUGCUGCCGCAGCCGCUGCCAGUUCGCUUCUGCCAGAACUCCACGCAGAGACCCGUGUCCAGCCAAAGAACCCCCUUUGACACGGAUCGUAAUCAGAAUAAAAACUUUAUUUUUUUUGUUUUGUUUCUCAGAAUGUGAGCAGCAAGGAAUGUAAAACUCUCAAAACAAAUCUAGCAUUUUUAGCGUUCAGUUUGGCCAGAUGUUACAAACCUAAACCACUAUUUUCAAACUCUGGGUCCUCUCUGUUCUUAUUGCAUUGCUACGGUUUUUAUAAAGGAAUUUUAUUUCCCUUUCAAAUAAAUUUUAUAUGUAUGCCAAUACACCAUUGAACAAAAGGCUCAAGAAACCUUCUGAACAAUCAGGGUACAGAAUUUCUUUAAUAUAAAUACGAACGGAUGGGGAUAAAUAAUAUUUAAAACUUAGACUAUUCAAUGCUUGCAAAAAAUAUAAAUAAAUCUGACUGUUCACCAGCACACAC
rnacentral:lncRNA from 1 species